UACGUAGGGUGCAAGCGUUAAUCGGAAUUACUGGGCGUAAAGCGUGCGCAGGCGGUUAUGCAAGACAGAUGUGAAAUCCCCGGGCUCAACCUGGGAACUGCAUUUGUGACUGCAUGGCUAGAGUGCGGCAGAGGGGGGAUGGAAUUCCGCGUGUAGCAGUGAAAUGCGUAGAUAUGCGGAGGAACACCGAUGGCGAAGGCAAUCCCCCUGGGCCUGCACUGACGCUCAUGCACGAAAGCGUGGGGAGCAAACAGG
rnacentral:rRNA from 1 species